rnacentral:rRNA from 1 species
CCUACGGGAGGCAGCAGUAGGGAAUCUUCCACAAUGGGCGAAAGCCUGAUGGAGCAACGCCGCGUGGGUGAAGAAGGUCUUCGGAUCGUAAAACCCUGUUGUUAGAGAAGAAAGUGCGUGAGAGUAACUGUUAACGUUUCGACGGUAUCUAACCAGAAAGCCACGGCUAACUACGUGCCAGCAGCCGCGGUAAUACGGAGGUGGCAAGCGUUAUCCGGAUUUAUUGGGCGUAAAGGGAACGCAGGCGGUCUUUUAAGUCUGAUGUGAAAGCCUUCGGCUUAACCGGGGUAGUGCAUUGGAAACUGGGAGACUUGAGUGCAGAAGAGGAGAGUGGAACUCGAUGUGUAGCGGUGAAAUGCGUAGAUAUAUGGAAGAACCCCAGUGGCGAAAGCGGCUCUCUGGUCUGUAACUGACGCUGAGGUUCGAAAGCGUGGGUAGCAAACAGGAUUAGAUACCCUUGUAGUC